ACACACACACAUCUAGCCACCUCGAGCUUCUCGGUCAAUUGUCUGAUAUCAGCCUUCCAGUGAAUUUUUCGUCCCGCGAUCAUUCCCAAUAUUUUUCGACGCCCGUUCUGAUGAUCUGAUUAUUUUUAAUAAGCUCCAAAUGAAUCAUGACUUGAUGGAAAAUAUUUCCCGAGUUUUCGGCUUCUUCGAAAAAUUCCAUAAUACCGAAAUUAAGGUUUUUCGCCCAAUUUCCGGUCUUCCUGUUGUGCUUACAAAAGUGUCAUGCUUCAAAUGUCCUUUGAGUAAAUAUACCACAUUGUCUAACCACUGUCUAGUGGGAUACUUGACUCAUGGUUCAGACAAAAACAAUUUGAUCGUCCGCGACUAGACCACCCAAAAGAUACUCGACCAUUCUCUUUCUUUUUUUCUUUUUUUCUUUUUUUAAUGGGUUUCUACAGUACCUCAGUGCCGAUUUGGUGAUUGUGGCGUGUUCACUCUGAAGUACAUCGAAUGUCAUGCUCUUGGGAUGUCAUUUCCUCCUGAGUUUUGUAAUAAGAACGCAAAGGCUAUAAGGGAGAAGAUAGCGUUGGAUAUAUUUAAGGUGACUCCUGAAUGUCAUUCAAAAGAGAACAAAGACAAUGAUGAGAACAUGAGAACUUAUGACUCGCAAGGUUAAAGAUGUUUUAUUUGUACUUGAACUGUGCUUUUGUAUGGCAGAUUAGGAAAUAUAUUUUUUGUAACACAGUCAGGACACGAUAUAGUUUUUUGUAACCUAUCAUCCGACCAAACUAUCAUUUCGUAGGAAAUUAGUUUGGUAGUGCAGUAACCUUUUGGAUAAUCUAAUCUAAUGGUGGACACACUUGUUAUCUUUUUAAGCUACAAUUUCACAAUUAAAAUAUAAACUUCAUAACACAUAUAAGUAUUAGGCCCUUUUCUUGCUGUGUAAUGGUGAAAUUGCAAAACAAUGAAUGUUCAGCCAACAAAGAACACAAUAGAAAGUAAUGAGCAUGAGGACGUACAUCCAGAAGCUCCUUUCGUAUAGUAAAUUUUCGGGAUAAUUUGUACGGCAGAGGGGUGUGACUCCUAGUUUUUCCCUUCUUAGACUACUUUGCUCUUGGGGGUAUCCAUGGUUAUUUACCGUGAUACUGUUGUUUUUGACAGUUACUUUUCUGUCGGUUAGUCAGUGGCUUUCUUCUCUUGAACUUUGAACCAUGUUAUAAUAUGUCUCAGUAGGGACGUCUGGAUUUGAUCUCCUUAGUCUUUUUUAUUAUUUUGUUGCAGUAGUAUUAGCAAAUUCUCUCUUUGAAUGUACUUAUCUAAACUUAUUUUCGUUGCUACGUCUUAGGCUAUUCCACAUACCAUUGCAAUGGUUAGUGGUGUUGAUGGGAAAAUCCCACGAGAAGCUGUUGAAUUUAUCUUACAGCUACUAAAGGUUGAACUUGUUGCUGGUAGAGAGCGUCAGAUAAUGCUUCAAAUGGGCACACUGAGCAAUCUUAUUCAGGACUAUGUUGGAGAAAGGUCUCGUACAGAGAGUAGAAAGCGACAGAACAAACAGCACAACACAGAACCUGGAAUCUUCCACCGUACCUAUUCUUUUUGCUUUGGCCAUUGGCUGUAUCGGCAUUCUUGCAUACAGAAUCAAAUAGUUGCUGUAACAGCUAGUUAACUGGGGUCCGUGAAAAGUAGUGAAUACGAUCAUGUAAAUAACAGAGUUUAGGAUACACUAGAUAAUUCAGUCUUGACAAUGUAGCAUGUUCCAAGAAUAAGAGUUAUUCGUUUACAUUACCA